GAUAACAGUUAGAAAUGACUGCUAAUACCGCAUAAGCGCACAGUCUCGCAUGGGACAGUGUGAAAAACUGAGGUGGUGUGAGAUGGAUCCGCGUCUGAUUAGGCAGUUGGCGGGGUAACGGCCCACCAAACCAACGAUCAGUAGCCGGCCUGAGAGGGUGAACGGCCACAUUGGGANUGAGACACGGCCCAAACUCCUACGGGAGGCAGCAGUGGGGAAUAUUGCACAAUGGGGGAAACCCUGAUGCAGCGACGCCGCGUGAAGGAAGAAGUAUUUCGGUAUGUAAACUUCUAUCAGCAGGGAAGAAAGUGACGGUACCUGACUAAGAAGCCCCGGCUAACUACGUGCCAGCAGCCGCGGUAAUACGUAGGGGGCAAGCGUUAUCCGGAUUUACUGGGUGUAAAGGGAGCGUAGGCGGCGAUGCAAGUCAGAAGUGAAAGCCCGGGGCUCAACUCCGGGACUGCUUUUGAAACUGUAUGGCUAGAUUGCAGGAGAGGCAAGUGGAAUUCCUAGUGUAGCGGUGAAAUGCGUAGAUAUUAGGAGGAACACCAGUGGCGAAGGCGGCUUGCUGGACUGUAAAUGACGCUGAGGCUCGAAAGCGUGGGGAGCAAACAGGAUUAGAUACCCUGGUAGUCCACGNCCGUAAACGAUGAAUACUAGGUGU
rnacentral:rRNA from 1 species